UACCAGUGAGGCACCAUGGCUUCUCAGCUUCUUGGGCUGGCAGAAGAGUCUGGCCUGAGCCCUGGGGAGUCUGAGCUGGCAGUGAACCCCUUUGACGGGCUCCCCUUCUCUUCUCGCUACUACGAACUGCUUGAGCAGCGCCGAGCCUUGCCCAUCUGGGCUGCUCGCUUUAUCUUCUUGGAGCAGUUGGAAAGUAGCCCCAGUGGAGUUGUGCUGGUGUCUGGAGAGCCUGGCUCUGGCAAGAGCACCCAGAUCCCUCAGUGGUGUGCAGAAUUUGCGCUGGCCAGGGGGUUCCAGAAGGGCCGGGUAACUGUCACUCAACCCUACCCUCUGGCAGCCCUGAGCCUGGCCCUGCAGGUUGCUGAUGAGAUGGACCUGACCCUGGGUCAUGAGGUUGGCUACAGCAUCCCCCAGGAGGACUGCACUGGGCCCCACACCCUGCUCAGGUUUUGCUGGGACAGGCUGCUGCUUCAGGAAUUGGCUUCAGCCCGGGGCACUGGAGACUGGGAUGUGCUGGUGCUGGAUGAGGCUCAGGAGCGGUCAGUGGCCUCAGAUUUGCUCCAGGGGUUGCUGCGAGAUGCCAAGCUGGGAAACCUCCCGCAGGACCCCAGAGUAGUUGUGGUUACUGACCCAGCCCUUGAGCCUAAGCUCCAAGCCUUCUGGGACAAUCCUCCUAUUGUACACGUACCCAGAGGGCCUGGUAGCUGUCCUACUCCCACCUACAUGGACACUGUCCCUGCUGAUCGAGUGGAAGUUGCCUGCCAGGCUGUGCUUGAAUUGUGUCGAAAGGAAACUCCAGGAGACGUGCUAGUGUACCUGCCCAGUGAGGAGGAAAUUUCCCUGUGCUGUGAAUCCUUGUCCAGGGAGGUAGGGACCUUGGCUAUCCAAGGGCCUCCACCACGGGUGAUGCCCCUUCACCCAGGCCAUGGUCAAGCUGUUCAGGCUGUGUACGAGGAUACACACUCAGGUGCCCGAAAGGUUGUGGUCACUCACUGGCUGGCUGACUUCUCCUUCUCCCUCCCUUCCAUUCGACAUGUCAUUGACUCAGGACUGGAGCUUCGAAGUGUGUACAAUCCUCAGAUCCGAGCAGAAUCCCAAGUGUUGAGGCCAAUCAGCAAGUGUCAGGCAGAGGCAAGACAACUGCGGGCAAGAGGGACCACCCCAGGAUCCUGCCUCUGUCUGUAUCCUAAGUCCUUCCAAGAACUAGAAGCUCCCCCACUGACCCAACCCAGGGUGUGUGAGGAGAAUCUGAGCCCCCUCGUAUUACUGCUAAAGAGGAGACAGAUUGCAGAGCCAGGGGACUGCCACUUCCUGGACCGUCCUGCUCCAGAAGCACUGAUGCAGGCCCUGGAAGACUUGGACUAUCUGGCAGCCUUGGAUGAUAACGGGGACCUGUCAGACCUGGGGGUCAUCCUGUCAGAGUUCCCUCUGCCCCCUGAGUUGGCCAAAGCCCUGCUGGCCUCCUGCGAGUUUGACUGUGUGGAUGAGAUGCUCACCCUCGCUGCCAUGCUCACUGCUUCCCCUGGGUUUACCCACCCUCCACUCUGUGCAGAAGAAGCUGCCUUACGUCGAGCCCUGGAACAUGCAGAUGGUGAUCACAGUUCUCUGAUCCAAGUGUAUGAAGCCUUUAUACAGAAUGGAGCAGAUAAAGCUUGGUGCCAGGCCCGGGGUCUAAACUGGGCAGCACUGUGCCAAGCCCAAAAACUUCGAGGAGAACUCCUAGAACUUAUGCAACAAAUUGAACUUCCCUUGUCCCAACCAGCCUUUGGCUCUGAGAAGAAUCGCAGAGACCUUCAGAAAGCACUGCUGUCUGGAUACUUCCUUAAGGUGGCCCAAGACAUAGAUGGGACUGGAAAUUACCUGCUCCUAACCCAUAAGCAUGUGGCCCAGCUCUCCCCACACUGCUGCUACCGAAGCCGCCGGGCUCCAGCCAGGCCUCCACCAUGGGUGCUUUACCACAAUUUCUCCAUUUCCAAAGACAACUGCCUUUCCAUUGUUUCUGAGAUUCAACCACAAAUGCUGGUGGAGUUGGCCCCUCCAUACUUCCUGAGUAACCUGCCCCCCAGUGAAAGCAGAGACUUCCUGAACCAGCUGAGGGAAGAAAUGGCAGAUUCUUCAACAGAGAAUGAAUCAUCCUCCACCCAAGAGUUUGCACAUGCCUGUGUCCUGCAGUGACCUGCCUGAGGGAUGGAGCAGAACUCAUCUCAUUGCAUGCAGUCCUCCCUCCGUCUAGCCCCAAGGCAACCAGCCAGAUUUAGAAGCCAAAAAUUUAGGGUUGAAUAUAAAUUUUGGAACCUGAGUCUCAAGAAAUGGUGGACUGGGAUGGAAAGGAAUCUGAGCUACAAAGCCGGCAAGCUGGUGCUGUAUCUGUGACUCCAUCGACCUGGCCAACAAUGUUUGACCUGACUUGAAGAUCCCCAGAGACUCUGCUCCACCCAACUUACAGGUCCCCCAAGCUGCUCUUCCAUUUGAAUGACUGGUCUUGGCUAAUGCUUCACAACUUCCUA